rnacentral:rRNA from 1 species
CACGUAGGGUGCGAGCGUUGUCCGGAAUUAUUGGGCGUAAAGAGCUCGUAGGCGGUGUGUCGCGUCGGCCGUGAAAACCCGCGGCUUAACUGUGGGACUGCAGUCGAUACGGGCUAGCUAGAGUUCGGUAGGGGAGACUGGAAUUCCUGGUGUAGCGGUGAAAUGCGCAGAUAUCAGGAGGAACACCGAUGGCGAAGGCAGCUCGCUGGGACGGUACUGACGCUGAGGCGCGAAAGCCAGGGGAGCAAACGGG